rnacentral:rRNA from 1 species
GACGAAGGAUGCAAGCGUUAUCCGGAUUCAUUGGGCUUAAAGGGAGCGUAGGCGGCCUUAUACGUCAGUGGUGAAAUCUUCGAGCUUAACUCGGAAAUUGCCAUUGAUACUGUAGGGCUUGAGUAUAGUUGCCGUUGGCGGAAUAUGACAUGUAGUGGUGAAAUACAUAGAGAUGUCAUAGAACACCGAUUGCGAAGGCAGCUGACGAAACUAUAACUGACACUGAGGCUCGAAAGUGCGGGGAUCAAACAGG